GAUAAGAGUUUGAUAACGAUCACAUGACUGUGACUCGGCGCUUUGGAACAUUUAUUUAACGGAUGUUUAAGUGAAGAAGACGCUUUGAGUUGUUUUUUUAAAUCAAACUCUGAACAGAGUUCACAGCAGAUGUGGCGAUAAGUCACGGAGGAGAUCACGGGAUUCACAGGGAGACAAAUAGACUGUCGAGAAUGCGUUUAAAACUUCAAAUUACACUUUGAGGGGAUUUGAAGAUCCUUUACCAGUUUGGAGAUUGAACCCCUGCUGCAGAGACGACUCCGUUUCCACUAAUUUCAACCUGCAGGGCUGAAAAAUGAAGCCAACGCUGAACCGCCUCUAAUGGCCGCUUGAGGGUGGCUCCAGCGGUGGAUGCUGAUACAAGCCGCUGCAGCUUCUAGCUUCAACUCAGCUAACUGAAGAUGGAACUGCCAGGAAAUGAUGAAGAGCUUAGAAAAGGCGACCCCCGAAAAAAGAAGAAGAUCUGACGAACCACGAGGCUCGCUGUGAGGUUAACUGCACCUACAGACCAUCCACCGUACCUGUGAGACGCACCUGCACAGCCUGCUCUUCUGUCUCCAGCAAGCUAACAUGGCGGCCGUGACAUCCACUCACACUCAGACUGAGAGAUAAAAUAAACAGCUGUCAGAGACGGGGGAGGGGGAGGUCGUCAUUUUGCCACGAUGGCACACAAACACUCAGACGUACAUGAAGACAAUAACAGCAGCUGAUAUUUAUGCCUUCACAUGAUGACUGAUGAUGGCUCCAUUUUGUUUUUAACUGAUGCUCCAACUUUUCUCCAAAAAAAAGUAAUAUUUUCAGUUUCCACUCGUUCCUCUUGAAUUUUUUAUGAGCAAAUUGACAAUGCCUAAAAAAUAAAAUUGCUGGUAAACAGCACACUUAAA